GACGAACGCUGGCGGCGUGCUUAACACAUGCAAGUCGAACGGAAAGGCCCUGCUUUUGUGGGGUGCUCGAGUGGCGAACGGGUGAGUAACACGUGAGUAACCUGCCCUUGACUUUGGGAUAACUUCAGGAAACUGGGGCUAAUACCGGAUAGGAGCUCCUGCGGCAUGGUGGGGGUUGGAAAGUUUCGGCGGUUGGGGAUGGACUCGCGGCUUAUCAGCUUGUUGGUGGGGUAGUGGCUUACCAAGGCUUUGACGGGUAGCCGGCCUGAGAGGGUGACCGGCCACAUUGGGACUGAGAUACGGCCCAGACUCCUACGGGCGGCAGCAGUGGGGAAUAUUGCACAAUGGGCGGAAGCCUGAUGCAGCAACGCCGCGUGCGGGAUGACGGCCUUCGGGUUGUAAACCGCUUUCGCCUGUGACGAAGCGUGAGUGACGGUAAUGGGUAAAGAAGCACCGGCUAACUACGUG
rnacentral:rRNA from 1 species